ensembl:snRNA U1 U1 spliceosomal RNA
AUACUUAGCUGGCCGGAGAGAUGCCAUGAUCAAGAGAGUAGUUUUUGCAGGGUGAGGCUCAAACAUUGCGUGCUGACCCCCAUGAUUUCCCCAAAUAUGGGAAACAUUGACUGUAUAAUUUGUGGUAGUAGAGGAUUACAUUCACACUUUCCCCUG